UCCUCGGUGGCUCAGCCGGCUAGAGCGUCUGCCAUGCAAGCAGGAGGUCCCGGGUUCGAGUCCCGGUCGGGGCA